UACGGAAGGCAGCAGUGGGGAAUAUUGCACAAUGGGCGCAAGCCUGAUGCAGCCAUGCCGCGUGUAUGAAGAAGGCCUUCGGGUUGUAAAGUACUUUCAGUCGUGAGGAAGGUGUUAAGGUUAAUAACCUUAGCAAUUGACGUUAGCGACAGAAGAAGCACCGGCUAACUCCGUGCCAGCAGCCGCGGUAAUACGGAGGGUGCGAGCGUUAAUCGGAAUUACUGGGGCGUAAAGGGCACGCAGGCGGUUAAUUAAGUUGGAUGUGAAAUCCCCGGGCUUAACCUGGGAAUGGCAUUCAAGACUGGUUAGCUAGAGUCUUGUAGAGGGGGUAGGAAUUCCAUGUGUAGCGGUGAAAUGCGUAGAGAUGUGGAGGAAUACCGGUGGCGAAGGCGGCCCCUCGGACAAAGACUGACGCUCAUGUGCGAAAGCGUGGGGAGCAAACAGGAUUAGAUACC
rnacentral:rRNA from 1 species